rnacentral:rRNA from 1 species
AACGAACGCUGGCGGCAGGCUUAACACAUGCAAGUCGAACGGGUGUAGCAAUACAUCAGUGGCAGACGGGUGAGUAACACGUGGGAACCUUCCUAGGGGUACGGAACAACUCAGGGAAACUUGAGCUAAUACCGUAUACGUCCGUGAGGAGAAAGAUUUAUCGCCCUUAGACGGGCCCGCGUCGGAUUAGCUAGUUGGUGGGGUAACGGCCUACCAAGGCGACGAUCCGUAGCUGAUCUUAGAGGAUGAUCAGCCACACUGGGACUGAGACACGGCCCAGACUCCUACGGGAGGCAGCAGUGGGGAAUCUUGGACAAUGGGCGCAAGCCUGAUCCAGCCAUGCCGCGUGAGUGAAGAAGGCCUUAGGGUUGUAAAGCUCUUUUACCAGGGACGAUAAUGACGGUACCUGGAGAAUAAGCCCCGGCAAACUUCGUGCCAGCCGCCGCAGUAAAAC